rfam:Nitratireductor indicus C115 contig8, whole genome shotgun sequence.
UCUGGACCCGGUGAAACUCCGGGUGGCUCUGCCGGCCGCCGAUCCGCCGGCUCACU